CGCGCCGUAAACGAUGAAUACUAGGUGUGGGGGGACUGACCCCUUCCGUGCCGGAGCAAACGCAAUAAGUAUUCCACCUGGGGACUACGGUCGCAAGACUAAAACUCAAAGGAAUUGACGGGGGCCCGCACAAGCAGUGGAUUAUGUGGUUUAAUUCGAAGCAACGCGAAGAACCUUACCGGGGUUUGACAUCCGACUAACGAAGCAGAGAUGCAUUAGGUGCCCUUCGGGGAAAGUCGAGACAGGUGG
rnacentral:rRNA from 1 species